ACUUAUUAGUGCUUGGCAUUUAUACAAUGCUAAGUUCUAGAACCCCCUAUAAAACCUAAUUUGUUUCGUAUUUUAGUAAAGCUGACAAAAGGAUCUUAGAGGUCAUUUAGCCCAAGCUCAACUGCAGAUUAAACACACUGCAUAGGACCACAGAAUCAGCUGGUUCUGAACAGUAUCCAGACCUUAUGAGUCUUAGACCUAUGUUCUUUUCCAUUGCACACUUACUAGUAUGAUGCUAGGUUCCUAUCUUCUACUCUUUUCCUUUUGUUUUCAUCUCUCCAUACUAUUAUAUGGAAAUUUGAAAAUUAGAAUAUUUAUGUCAGUUGAGGGGGAUUACCCCUGUAAUCCUACCAGUUUGGUAGGCCAAGUUGGGAGGACUGCUUGAGCCCAGUAGUUCCAAGACCAGGCUGGGCAAAAGAGUAAGACCCUAUCUCCCAAAACAAAAUGUUAGCGAGUAGUUGGGACUACAGGCCUAUGGCCACCUCACCUGGCUAAUUUUUGUAUUUUUAGUAGAGACGUGGGUUCACCAUGUUGGCCAGGAUGGUCUCGAACUCCUGACCUCAUGAUCCACCCGCC
rnacentral:lncRNA from 1 species